rnacentral:rRNA from 1 species
CGGCAAAAGCCUCAAAUGUUGAAAUCCCCCGGGAAUUGUAAUUUGAAGAGAUUUUGGGUUCCGGCCGGCAGGGGUUAAGUCCACUGGAAAGUGGCGCCACAGAGGGUGACAGCCCCGUGAACCCCUUCAACGCCUUCAUCCCAGAUCUCCAAGAGUCGAGUUGUUUGGGAAUGCAGCUCUAAGUGGGUGGUAAAUUCCAUCUAAAGCUAAAUACCGGCGAGAGACCGAUAGCGAACAAGUACAGUGAUGGAAAGAUGAAAAGCACUUUGAAAAGAGAGUGAAAAAGUACGUGAAAUUUGUUGAAAGGGAAGGGCUUGCAAGCAGACACUUAACUGGGCCAGCAUCGGGGCGGCGGGGAGCAAAACCACCGGGGAAUGUACCCUUUCGAAGAUUAUAACCCCCCGGCCGUAACUCCCAUUACCCAACCCCCAGGCCU